rnacentral:misc_RNA from 1 species
AGCUCUCUCCCUCUCCUGCCGCUGUUCGACGGCAUCGCGCACACACACGCAAAAACACAAAAAGCUGAAAAUAUCUUUGAAAAGAACCCUCGACGACACGCUUUCAGGCGCACGAUAGAGCGUCAGUUGCCUUUAUCACUAGCUCGGCUGGCGUCGUUGCCCUGCUUCGACCAUUGACUCUUCCCUCUUUCUUUCCCACACUCUCUCUCGCUCCACCGCUUGCUCUCGGUUGUUUGUCGGGCAGCAUUUUCAUAAAGACGCACGCACACACACACACACAGAGUGAGAGAGAAAUUGUCGAGAAGUAGGAAGAGGUGAUGCCUCUGACGGCGGCUGGCAUGCGGACGCUGAUGCGUCAGAUGCAGGAGGUGCAAGAGCACCCCGUCGACGGUGUGCAAGUGCGCCCGGCGGACUCGAUGAACGAGUAUCACUUCGACCUGGACGGUCCGGAGGGGACGCCGUUCGCGGCUGGCCGCUUUCAUGUUGCUCUCAUUUUCGACGAGCAGUAUCCAGAAGUGCCGCCAAAAGGCUUCUUCCGCACCAAGAUCUUUCACCCCAACAUCUCCGAGCGUGGUGACAUCUGCGUGAACGCGCUGAAGCGUGACUGGGCCCCGACGCUUGGGCUGCGUCACAUUCUUGUCGUCAUCCGCUGCCUUUUGAUCGAGCCGAACCCGGAAAGCGCGUUGAAUGAAGAGGCGGGACGACUGAUCUUGGAGGAGUACGCAGCAUACGAGCGCAAGGCUGCCAUGUACACCACUAUAAACGCCGCGCGUCCGAACGGGGUGCCGCGGUUCACGCUUCCCGAGGUCCAGGCGGAGAAGGCGUCCAGCUUGGUCACGGCGGAUGCCUCGGCUCCCGUAGCUGGGGAGAGCGGCGCCAGCUCCACCACCGCUGCUGCCUCAGCAUCUUCCAUGGCAAACGGCAGCACACCAUCGACUGCCACACGCAGGCUGACCCUGUCGGAGGCGAACUGCCACCCAGGUGCAGCCACAGCGGCCGAGAAGGCCGAGAAGUCAAAAAAGAAAGCGCUGCGCCGCAUCUGAGCGAAUCCCAACGCGCUCGAAUCCCGAUUUUGUGUAUGUCUGUCGGCUGAGAUGAUGUAGUUCCACGUUGCAAGUCUGGAUACCUGCACGUGUCGCUGCCGCACCGCAUCAGUUCAAGGGAAUCCCAACAACAGUGCGGCGACACUCUACUCCUUUUAUAUAUUUCCACUCCAUGAUGGUCCUAGCACCGUUUCUUGCGGGGUGUGUUGUUGUGCAUGCCCUUUGCUUUACAGCUCCCACCCCACCCUCUCCGCGUGCUCUCCAUGUGGUGCUGGCGAUGGUCGUCUUCCCUGUACUCCUCUUUUUUUGUGACGAUGUUUUGUUUGCGGAUGCGCGUGUGAGUUUGCAUGUCUCCAUGUACGCACUCGCCCUUGUGCCGCGGAGGAGAUGGACGACGCCAGAGGUGUAUCAGAUACACACGAACAUGGGGCCUGCGUGCAGAGGAGAGGGCAAGGGGAACUCGAAGAGGGCAAACCUACACGCGUGGAGGAGCAUGUCGGAGACAGCGGUAAAGAAAGAGGGCCAUGCCCUUUCGCUGCGAAGUCUCCCUCGCUCGCUCUUUCUCUGUGUCUCCGUCCUCUGACUGUAUCGCUGUGAGCUUUCUGAUUGGCUUCUUUGAGCGCCGUGCAAGGCUUUUAACACUCCCGGUUGCCGUUUUUCUGUGCCCUGCCACACCCAGCCAGAGACCAACAUACACUUGCUCAAUGUGUCAUGUGUAUCGUGGCCUGAUCGUAGCGAAGCUAGCAAGCGUGUUGAUCUACUUUUCCGAUCCCUCGACUUCUUGUCUUUUUUGUUUUUGUUUCCUUGGCUCUCUCGUCCCGUUCCGUGAGAGACGCGGCAGAAAAGGCCCGGAGAGCGUAAAGGAAAAG